rnacentral:rRNA from 1 species
GGAAUAUUGCGCAAUGGGGGCAACCCUGACGCAGCGACGCCGCGUGGAUGAUGAAGGCCCUUGGGUCGUAAAAUCCUGUCAGAUGGAAAGAAAUGCCACAGGGCUAAUAUCUUUGUGGUUUGACGGUACCAUCAAAGGAAGCACCGGCUAACUCCGUUCCAGCAGCCGCGGUAAUACGGAGGGUGCAAGCGUUGUUCGGAAUUACUGGGCGUAAAGCGCGCGUAGGCGGUUUGCUCAGUCAGAUGUGAAAGCCCUCGGCUUAACCGGGGACGUGCAUUUGAAACUGGCAGACUUGAGUAUUGGAGGGGGUGGUGGAAUUCCCGGUGUAGAGGUGAAAUUCGUAGAUAUCGGGAGGAAUACCGGUGGCGAAGGCGGCCACCUGGCCAAAUACUGACGCUGAGGUGCGAAAGCGUGGGGAGCAAAC